rnacentral:rRNA from 1 species
UGAGUACGAGAUGCUACGGCAUCGAAGCAGUCUAUGUCAUACUUCCAAGAAAAGCUUGCACUGUCAGAAACAGAUAAUGCCUGUACCAUAACCGACACAGGUGGGUAGGUAGAGUAUACUAAGGGGCGCGAGAUAACUCUCUCUAAGGAACUCGGCAAAAUGACUCCGUAACUUCGGGAGAAGGAGUGCCUUAUUUUUAAGGUUGCAAUAACAAGAUCCAAGCAACUGUUUACCAAAAACACAGGUCUCCGCUAAGUCGUAAGACGAUGUAUGGGGGCUGACGCCUGCCCAGUGCCAGAAGGUUAAAGAAGUCGGUUAGCAUUCGCGAAGCUGGUAACUGAAGCCCUGGUGAACGGCGGCCGUAACAAUAACGGUCCUAAGGUAGCGAAAUUCCUUGUCGGGUAAGUUCCGACCCGCACGAAAGGCGUAAUGAUUUGGAUACUGUCUCGGAGAGGGGCUCGGUGAAAUAGACUUGUCUGUGAAGAUGCGGACUACCUGCACCUGGACAGAAAGACCCUAUGAAGCUUUACUGUAACUUGGAAUUGAAAUUGGACUUUAUUUGCGCAGUAUAGGUGGGAGGCGUUGAAAAUAUUCUUGCGGGAAUAUUGGAGCCAUCAGUGAGAUACCACUCUUGUAAUGUUAGAUUUCUAACUUUAUAUCAUUAUCUGGUUAAAGAACAGUUUCAGGCGGACAGUUUGACUGGGGCGGUCGCCUCCCAAAUGGUAACGGAGGCGCACAAAGGUUUCCUCUGAACGGGUAGAAAUCGUAUCUAGAGUGUAAAGGCAUAAGGGAGCUUGACUGUGAGACCUACAAGUCGAGCAGGGACGAAAGUCGGUCUUAGUGAUCUGACGGUGCUGAGUGGAAAGGCCGUCACUCAACGGAUAAAAGUUACUCUAAGGAUAACAGGCUGAUCUCCCCCAAGAGUUCACAUCGACGGGGAGGUUUGGCACCUCGAUGUCGGCUCAUCGCAUCCUGGGGCGGUAGUACGUCCCAAGGGUUGGGCUGUUCGCCCAUGAAAGCGGUACGCGAGCUGGGUUCAGAACGUCGUGAGACAGUUCGGUCCAUAUCCGGUGUAGGCGUUAGAAUAUUGAGAGGAGCCUUCUUUAGUACGAGAGGACCGAGAAGGACAUACCUCUGGUGUACCAGUUAUCGUGCCAACGGUAAACGCUGGGUAGCUAUGUAUGGAGUGGAUAACCGCUGAAAGCAUCUAAGUGGGAAGCCCACCUCAAGAUAAGUAUUCUCACC